AGAACAAUAAAACAAGAACUUACUAGAAUUUAGAAGUCGAAAUACUGAAGAAUCCUAGGAGCAAGCUUCGGGUUAGGAGAGCUUGAUCCCACAGGUACAAGCUUGGAGUAGACACCAACAGGCCGGGCUUCCUCCAAUCUACACCUCCACUCGAUCUCUCUCAAUCUAGUAGAAACUAGAAGAUCUAUUUCUACUUUACAUUGGUUGCUAAGCCUAAAAAGAAAUAUUAAUUAGAGAAGAGGUUUUCCUUCGAGGGCACCCCUCAAUCUCUAUGAUAAUUUCUUCAUGUCUUCUCCAGGGGCCAGGGGGGUCUCCUUAUAUAGUCCUCCUCCUCUAUGCGUUUUUGGGUCGGUAGGCGAGGUGGUACUAUUUUUUUUUCUUGAUCCAAUAGGUCGGUGGAAUAUCCCGUGCGAAGAGAGUCCUGAAUGCAAUCCAGCAGGGGGCGGGCGCCCAGGUCACCAGGGCGGGCGCCCUGGGCCUGGCCCCUUUCGGCCUCUGCCUUCUUCCCGUGGCUUCUGGAGUCUUCUAGAUGGUAGAAAAUCGCGCGGUGCGUUGAUAUCUCUAUGUAAUCCCGACAUGUGGGCCUUUCUUCCUUAUUUCCUGAUAACCCCCUGCAGAAACAGAUAAACAACAAAACUCGUGGAAUUCUGUCAGAUCAAACCCUAAUUCUAGGUGUUGGUUGCAUAUUGGUCCUUUCUCUUGUUUAUUUGAUAAUUAAAAUUAAUACUUAAGAACCGUCAACAGCCCUCAGCUUUACAAAUUGCUUGAGGUUGAAAUUUGGAGUCUCGUUUUACUUGACAAAUUUAUUGUACAAAGUCUUCUUCCAAUUCUGGAACAGUACUACCAUCUUCUUCAUAGUCCAGUCAUAAAUUCGCACCUUCAACUCAUCAUCGUUGGUGUCGAAGGUGAAAACAUCUGUGACGGCUUUCCAAACUAACUCCUUGUCACGAUCGGAGACAAAACUGAUCUCAGGAGCACCUCGCUUCUCUCUCCAUUCACGAGCACUAAUCGGUAUUUGAUCUCUCACAAGAUAUCCACAGUGACUAACAUAUUUAUUUGCAUGUUCACCAAGUGGUCUCCCUGUAGCUAUCUCAAACUCAGAGAUUACAUAGCGGCCCUCCAACGGCUUCUUUGGCCCUCGUGGAGGUACGCUUCUCUCCGUAGAGGUCGAUCCAGAAGGCUACACGUAGAUAUAGAAACAAAAAUACUAAAUUAAUAACCAAAUAAGUCUAAAACAUAAUGUAAGAGAUGCAUUAAUUAUAUAUGUUUACAUUUACAUACCUCGCCAGUAUUUUCUUCUUGUUGCACGACAAGUUGUUGCUCAGGCGCAUUGCCCUGUUGCUCAGGGGCAUUGCCCUCUUGUUGCUCAGUCGGAUUGCCUUGCAUGAUCUCGUUGUAAUCAGUAAAGUACUGACUACCGUCGUCGAUCAUAUUUUGAAUGGCAUCUUCCAUAUAUUCAGCAUCAUCGUGAGGACGGUCUGCCAUUUCUAUGUCUGCAACCAUAUAUAUAUAUAUACAUAAUAAAGAAAUACACUAGAAUAAUAUAAGUGCUAGAGUGCUCCAAACUAAAAAAUAAUACUAAAAAAUAAUACAAACAAUAACACUAGAAUAAUAUAAGUGCUAGAGUGCUCCAAACUAAAAAAUAAUACUAAAAAAACAAUACUGACAAUAACACUAGAAUAAUAUACUAGCACAAUAUAUUUCAUAACAAUUCAAAACACUACAAUUCAUAAUAUACAAGAAUAAUAUACUAAAAAGUCUUUUAAGCCAAGUAAUAUACUAGAAUAAUAUACUAAAAAUAUUACUAAAAAAUAAUACUAGAAUAAUAGUAUAAACAAGAAUAGUAUAUGUUUUAAGCCAAGUAAUACACUUGCACCUAGAAUAAUAUACUAAAAAAAAUUAAUACUACAAAAUGAUACAAGAAUAAUAUGAGUGUUAGAGUGCUUCAAACUAAAAAAUAAUACUUAAAAAAAUAAUACGGACAAUAACACUAGAAUAAUAUACUAGCACAAUAUAUUUCAUAACAAUUCAAAACACUACAAUUCAUAAUAUACUAGAAUAACAUACUAAAAAGUCUUUUAAGCCAUGUACUAGAAUAAUAUACUAAAAAAAUUAAUACUACUACAAAAUGAUACAAGAAUAAUAUAAGUGCAUAUAUAUACAUAAUGAUACAAAAUAAUAGUAUAUAAACUGUUGGUAUAUAUAAAAUAUAAGUGCAUAUAUAAUGAUACAAAAUAAUUGUAC
rnacentral:lncRNA from 1 species